GGACAACCUACCCUCAGGUCGGGGAUAAACCCGGGAAACUGGGUAUAAUACCCGAUAGAUCUCGGCUGCUGGAAUGCAUCGAGCUCUAAAGCUCCGGCGCCUGAGGAUGGGUCUGCGGCCUAUCAGGUAGUAGUGGGUGUAGCGUACCUACUAGCCUACGACGGGUACGGGUUGUGAGAGCAAGAGCCCGGAGAUGGAUUCUGAGACACGAAUCCAGGCCCUACGGGGUGCAGCAGGCGCGAAAACUUUACAAUGCCGGCAACGGCGAUAAGGGGACCUCGAGUGCCAGGUUACAAAUCUGGCUGUCGUAAUGCCUAAAAAGCAUUGCAUAGCAAGGGCCGGGCAAGACCGGUGCCAGCCGCCGCGGUAACACCGGCGGCUCGAGUGGUAACCGUUAUUAUUGGGUCUAAAGGGUCUGUAGCCGGCCGGAUAAGUCUCUUGGGAAAUCCAGCAGCUUAACUGUUGGGCUUUCAGGAGAUACUGUCUGGCUCGAGGCCGGGAGAGGUGAGAGGUACUUCAGGGGUAGGGGUGAAAUCUUGUAAUCCUUGAAGGACCACCAGUGGCGAAGGCGUCUCACCAGAACGGACCUGACGGCAAGGGACGAAAGCUAGGGGCACGAACCGGAUUAGAUACCCGGGUAGUCCUAGCCGUAAACGAUACUCGCUAGGUGUCGGCCACGGUGCGACCGUUGUCGGUGCCGUAGGGAAGCCGUGAAGCGAGCCACCUGGGAAGUACGGCCGCAAGGCUGAAACU
rnacentral:rRNA from 1 species